rnacentral:rRNA from 1 species
AACGUAGGUCCCGAGCGUUAUCCGGAUUUACUGGGCGUAAAGCGUGUUCAGGCGGUCUAGCAAGUCGGGCAUGAAAUCUCUCGGCUCAACCGGGAGGGGUUGUCCGAUACUGCUGGGCUUGAGGGCAGCAGAGGGUGGUGGAAUUCCGGGUGUAGUGGUGAAAUGCGUAGAUAUCCGGAGGAACACCAGUGGCGAAGGCGGCCACCUGGGCUGUACCUGACGCUCAAACACGAAAGCUAGAGGAGCGAACGGG